AUUGAACGCUGGCGGCAGGCCUAACACAUGCAAGUCGAGCGGAUGAAGGGAGCUUGCUCCUGGAUUCAGCGGCGGACGGGUGAGUAAUGCCUAGGAAUCUGCCUGGUAGUGGGGGAUAACGUCCGGAAACGGGCGCUAAUACCGCAUACGUCCUGAGGGAGAAAGUGGGGGAUCUUCGGACCUCACGCUAUCAGAUGAGCCUAGGUCGGAUUAGCUAGUUGGUGGGGUAAAGGCCUACCAAGGCGACGAUCCGUAACUGGUCUGAGAGGAUGAUCAGUCACACCGGAACUGAGACACGGUCCAGACUCCUACGGGAGGCAGCAGUGGGGAAUAUUGGACAAUGGGCGAAAGCCUGAUCCAGCCAUGCCGCGUGUGUGAAGAAGGUCUUCGGAUUGUAAAGCACUUUAAGUUGGGAGGAAGGGCAGUAAGUUAAUACCUUGCUGUUUUGACGUCACCAACAGAAUAAGCACCGGCUAACUUCGUG
rnacentral:rRNA from 1 species